AUUCCGUGUUACCGGAACUUCACCCUGGACAUGGGUAGAUCACCCGGUUUCGGGUCGACGGCCACGUACUCAUUCGCCCUGUUCMAACAGGUUCGCKCCAUUCCGUGUUACCGGAAUGGAGGCCCGAACCUGUUGGUGUUGAAAAACCAUAGGAUGAGGUGUGGGUAGGGGUGAAAUGCCAAUCGAACCCGGAGAUAGCUGGUUCUCCCCGAAAUAGCUUUAGGGCUAGCCUCGGAGAGGAGUCGUGGAGGUAGAGCACUGAUUGGGCUAGGGGCCCCCACAGGGUUACCGAACUCAGUUAAACUCCGAAUGCCACAGACUUGUCCUCCGGGAGUCAGACUACGAGUGCUAAGAUCCGUGGUCGAGAGGGAAACAGCCCAGACCGCCAGCUAAGGUCCCAAAGUAACCGUUAAGUGGCAAAGGAUGUGGAGUUGCCCAGACAACCAGGAUGUUGGCUUAGAAGCAGCCAUCAUUCAAAGAGUGCGUAAUAGCUCACUGGUCAAGUGACUCUGCGCCGAAAAUGUAACGGGGCUAAACGGUUCACCGAAGCUGCGGAUGUCCUUCGGACAUGGUAGGGGAGCGUUCCAAACAGCAGCGAAGCUGCUUCGUGAGAAGCGGUGGAGCGUUUGGAAGUGAGAAUGCCGGUAUGAGUAGCGGAAAGAAGGGUGAGAAUCCCUUCCACCGAAAGCCUAAGGUUUCCUGAGGAAGGUUCGUCCGCUCAGGGUUAGUCGGGACCUAAGUCGAGGCCGAAAGGCGUAGGCGAUGGACAACAGGUUGAGAUUCCUGUACCACCUUGUUCCGUUGACGACGGGGGGACGCAGGAGGGUAGAGAAUCGCGCGACUGGUUGUGCGCGUCCAAGCAGUGAGGCUGAAGAGACAGGCAAAUCCGUCUCUUCUUAAGGCCAGGCUGUGAUGGCGAGGGAAGUUUCAGUACCGAAGUUCUUGAUCUCACACUGCCAAGAAAAGCCUCUAAGGAGGAGCAAGGUGCCCGUACCGCAAACCGACACAGGUAGGCGAGGAGAGAAUCCUAAGGUGCUCGGGAGAACUCUCGUUAAGGAACUCGGCAAAAUGACCCCGUAACUUCGGGAGAAGGGGUGCCCCGUUAGGGUCUUCGGGCCCGAGGGGGCCGCAGUGAAGAGGCCCAGGCGACUGUUUAGCAAAAACACAGGGUCUCUGCAAAGCCGCAAGGCGAAGUAUAGGGCUGACGCCUGCCCGGUGCUGG
rnacentral:ncRNA from 1 species